rnacentral:rRNA from 1 species
GGUUGAUCCUGCCAGUAGU